rnacentral:rRNA from 1 species
GUGUACCGGAAGGUGCACCUGGAAAGUCAGGAUAGAGCUUGAUUAGUUAAGCAUUUCAUUUACACUGAAAAUACACUGUGCAAUUCAGUUUAUUCUGAUAAAUUUUAACUUACUUUAGUUGUUAGUUGUUAAAAGUUUUUUUAAUUAAAUUAUUUUUAAUAGGUUAUGUUUGUGUAUAGAAUAUAGAUAAAAUUAUUUAAGUGGUAGGUUAAUUGUAUCGUGAGAGGUUGAUUGAAAUAGUUUGAAAAUAUAUUUUUAUAAAAGUAGAUUAAUGAUUGUACCUUGUGUAUCAGGGUUUAUUAAAAAAAUUGCAAAUAUUUGUAUUUUCCCGAUUUGAAGAGAGCUAAAUAAAUGUGUUAGUUAAUGUGGAAUAAUUAUUAAUAACAUUUAUUUAGUAAUGAAACGUUAUCCGUUCUUUAAGAUAUCUGGUUUUCCGAGAAAUGAAUUUAAUUCAGGUUUAAAAAAGUGUAAUUUAAUUUAUUAAAUAAAUCAUUUUUUUAAGCUAAUGCCCUGGGGGAUAAGCUUUAGGGUAGGUUUUAUAAUUAGUGAAAUUUUAAAAGAUUUAGUAGGCUUAGAAUUAGCCAUCUAUUAAAGGAUGUUAUAAUUUAAUUUUUUGUAAGUUUAAUUUUCUAAGAAUUUAAGUUUUAUAUCGGAGCAAUGUAACUAAUUUUUAGUUACUUGAGAUAAUGAUAAAAUUAGUAUAAAAAUUGUUUAAAUUAUUAAAAAAAAAUGUGAGGUUACAUUAAGGAAUUAGGCAAAUUAGUACUCGCCUGUUUAACAAAAACAUGUCUUCUUGAUUAUAAUUUGAAGUCUGACCUGCCCACUGAAUUUUAUAUUUGAAGGGCCGCGGUAUUUUGACCGUGCAAAGGUAGCAUAAUCAUUAGUCUUUUAAUUGAAGGCUAGAAUGAAUGGUUGGACGAGGUACUGACUGUCUCGGUGUGAUUGAUAUUAGAAUUUAACUUUUAAGUUAAAAGGCUUAAUAUAUUUAA